CCUACGGGAGGCAGCAGUAGGGAAUAUUCCACAAUGGGCGAAAGCCUGAUGGAGCGACGCCGCGUGGGUGAAGAAGGGCUUCGGAUCGUAAAACCCUGUUGUUAGGGAAGAAGAUGCGGGAAAGUAACUGAUUACAUUCCGACGGUAACUUGCCAGAAAGCGAGGGCUAACGACGUGCCAGCAGCCGCGGUAAUACGUAGGGGGCAAGCGUUAUCCGGAAUUAUUGGGCGUAAAGGGCGCGCAGGCGGGCUUUUAAGUCUGAUGUGAAAUCCUGUGGCUUAACCGCCGAAUUGCUUGGGAAACUGGUAGACUUGAGUGCAGAAGAGGCGAGCGGAAUUCCAUGUGUAGCGGUGAAAUGCGUAGAUAUAUGGAAGAACACCAGUGGCGAAGGCGGCUUUCUGGGCAGCAACUGACGCUGAGGGUCGAAAGCGUGGGGAGCAAACAGGAUUAGAUACCCUAGUAGUC
rnacentral:rRNA from 1 species